AUUUUACUAAGAAGAAGGGAGAGAAUAGGCUCGAUGAACUUCUGGCAACCUGUUUCCACCGACAAGGUGCUUGUCCUGCAUCAAUCUGAUAAAGCAUAGUAU
rnacentral:ncRNA from 2 species